rnacentral:rRNA from 1 species
CAGCCGCCGCGGGAAUACGGAGGGGGCUAGCGUUGUUCGGAAUUACUGGGCGUAAAGCGUACGUAGGCGGCUUUGUAAGUUAGAGGUGAAAGCCUGGUGCUCAACACCAGAACUGCCUUUAAGACUGCAUCGCUUGAACGUCGGAGAGGUGAGUGGAAUUCCGAGUGUAGAGGUGAAAUUCGUAGAUAUUCGGAAGAACACCAGUGGCGAAGGCGGCUCACUGGACGACUGUUGACGCUGAGGUACGAAAGCGUGGGGAGCAAACAGGAUUAGAUACCCCAGUAGUCCCUGUCUCUUAUAC